GAGGAUGCGAGCGUUAUCCGGUUUCAUUGGGUUUAAAGGGUGCGCAGGCGGAGCGCCAAGUCGGCGGUAAAAUCGCGGGGCUCAACCCCGCCCGGCCGUCGAAACUGGCGCCCUUGAGUUGUCGAGAGGUAGGCGGAAUGCGCGGUGUAGCGGUGAAAUGCAUAGAUAUCGCGCAGAACCCCGAUUGCGAAGGCAGCCUACCGGCGGCAAACUGACGCUCAGGCACGAAAGCGCGGGUAUCGAA
rnacentral:rRNA from 1 species